UACGGAGGAUCCGAGCGUUGUCCGGAUUUAUUGGGCGUAAAGCGAGCGCAGGUGGUUUAUUAAGUCUGGUGUAAAAGGCAGUGGCUUAACCAUUGUAUGCAUUGGAAACUGGUAGACUUGAGUGCAGGAGAGGAGAGUGGAAUUCCAUGUGUAGCGGUGAAAUGCGUAGAUAUAUGGAGGAACACCGGUGGCGAAAGCGGCUCUCUGGCCUGUAACUGACACUGAGGCUCGAAAGCGUGGGGAGCAAACAGG
rnacentral:rRNA from 1 species